AGACUAUUUUGUCUUUUCUUCUUCCUUUUACCUUUGAUUUUUCUUCAAGAUUUUUGAUUAUAAACGGUGGUGGUGAUUGAGCUCUUGUAACGAUUUCAAUGACAUUAAGAUCCAAGGGCGGUGACUCAUGACUCAUGUCUAGUGGUGAAACGAGAUGGAUGAAAAAGACGGCAAUAUCUCGGCUUCCGAUUACCAUUCAUGGUGAGUAGUUUCAGCGAUAAUGGUGACUUGAGCAACAAUGAAAAGCAAAAGUGGUAGUUUGGAUCUUUAUAUGCAGUUUUGAUGAAGAUGAUUUAGGAUUUAUUCGAUUUUGAUGAUAAUUGAAGAGGUUGAUUCAAUUGAAUUUCUAAACAUGUAAUUGAUUUAAUGUGUCUAAAAUUGGAAUCCUUGGGUUUCCUACACAUCAUCCCCUUAGGGUUUAGAUUUCUUUUAUCAAAAACCAGUUAAUUGGAUCGAUAGGAUUCAAAAGGUAGAAGAAGAUCAAUAAAUUUUUUGAAAAAAAAACAGAUGAACGAAGACAAGAUGUGAAGAAGAAAGGAAGAAAGAGGGCAAAGUUGUCAUUUUGUCGAUAAAAAUAUGCCGAUCUGUGUAAGCCCAAGUGAAAUGUUCUCUUUUUCUAAUUUUUGGCCCAAAUUAUGACAUACCCCAUAAAAGCCCCCAGUUAAAAAAGGAGAAGCCAUUAUGCCAAGUUACAAUAAUUAAUUUUGAACUCUAACUAAUCAAUGAUAAUUAAGAUGGUUAUCUCUCUUAGGUGACAUAACAUGGGACUUUUGUAAGAAUGAGUACGAGAAAAGAACUUUUAGAGUGAUAACCACACUUCAUCGUCUUUGACAAAUUUUCCGGCAACGAAAAUCCUCAAUCCUCAGUUCUCAUUUCUCAUUGUUGCACUUGUUUCAUAGACACCAUAUUGUCAAUACCAUCACUUUUGUCAAUGUCCAUCAAAAUACUCUCUUUUGUUUUUAACUCUCUUCGCCACCAACACGUCUUCUUCGAUUAACCCAAUCAAUCAAAUUAAACGAUUUUUAAUGGAAGAAAGCUAAACCCUAAAGUCUGGAACUCAACGUGGAUUGUGGCAUUUGAAUUCGAUUCGAGCAAAGCGAGUGAGGAGAUUGUAUUUACUGACGGGGAAAUCUUCGAUGAUAACAAAUCUUGAAGAGGUACUCUUCUCCUUCUGUGUUACACUUUGUUAGAGAGAGAGAGAGAGAGAGAGAG
rnacentral:sRNA from 1 species